AUUGAACGCUAGCGGGAUGCUUUACACAUGCAAGUCGAACGGAGUGGGGGACGGGUGAGUAAUAUAUAGGAACGAGCCCAGUAGCGGGGGAUAACUACUCGAAAGAGUGGCUAAUAACGCAUACUAUUGGAGCGGCCGAUAUCGGAUUAGCUAUUUGGUGGGGUAAAGGCUCACAAAGGCAACGAUCCGUAGCUGGUUUGAGAGGAAGACCAGCCACACUGUGACUGAGGCACGGUCCAGACUCCUACGUGCGGCAGCAGUGGGGAAUUUUGGACAAUGGGGGAAACCCUUCUCCAGCCAUCCCGCGUGGAGGAUGAAGGCCUUCGGGUUGUAAAGUACUUUUGGCAGAGAAGCGUUAUCUGCAGAAUAAGCACCGGCUAACUACGUGCCAGCAGCCGCGGUAAUAC
rnacentral:rRNA from 1 species